rnacentral:other from 1 species
AAUAGCCUGGGGUGUUCGAUAUAAUCUUGUUAUUUUGAACCUACAUUUUUGAACUCGGGAAACAUAAUAAUCACCGGAAUGACAGGCCUCAUUUUUAUCUUCCAGUGGAAGUCAGGAACGUGAUUGCGGUUACCCACCUAGCUUGGCUAGGACUCAAAAUUGCAGGAUGCGGCAUUUCGGGUCAGAU